CCCCUGCGCCGCCGCUGCCAACCCGGAAGGAGCCCGGAGGGGCCCGGGCGGCCAGGGCGCCCCCGCCAGGAGGCCCGCCAGGUGUCCACCUGAGCCCCACGCCCUGCGCCGCGGGGCCCUUUUGGGGGCGGGGUGCCAGCUCCGAGGUGUCCUCCCACGGGCUGUAGACUGGGAAACUGAGGCCCGGGCCACGGUCCCAGACGCAGCCGGGACCCGAACCCACCUCACCUGAGCGAAUGAUAUCCGGGACUCAUCCUUUUUCGACACCUUUGCGGGAUCCAGCCCUCCAAGGAAAGCUUCCUGAGCAGUGCGCGCCACGUGUAUUGGGCACCUCACCGCGGCCACUUCACAUCCUAUCUCAGGUGGAGAAACUAAGCCACAGAAAGGAGCUGUCAUUUACCUAAAGCACCGUGGCAGGGGUUUGGCAGAGCCAGGAUUUGUACCCAGAUCGCCUGACUUCGGAGAGUAACAGCUCUUAACCACAGCACUUCGGUCUAUGCCUUGAUUUCACCAUAUGUAACAAGCCUACUCAUCAUGAAGACAAG
rnacentral:lncRNA from 10 species